GACGAACGCUGGCGGCGUGCUUAACACAUGCAAGUCGAACGGAAAGGCCCUGCUUGCAGGGUACUCGAGUGGCGAACGGGUGAGUAACACGUGGGUGAUCUGCCCUGCACUUCGGGAUAAGCCUGGGAAACUGGGUCUAAUACCGGAUAGGAGCCAUUUUUAGUGUGAUGGUUGGAAAGUUUUUUUCGGUGUAGGAUGGGCUCGCGGCCUAUCAGCUUGUUGGUGGGGUAAUGGCCUACCAAGGCGGCGACGGGUAGCCGGCCUGAGAGGGUGGACGGCCACAUUGGGACUGAGAUACGGCCCAGACUCCUACGGGAGGCAGCAGUGGGGAAUAUUGCACAAUGGGCGCAAGCCUGAUGCAGCGACGCCGCGUGGGGGAUGACGGCCUUCGGGUUGUAAACUCCUUUCGCUAGGGACGAAGCUUUUUGUGACGGUACCUAGAUAAGAAGCACCGGCUAACUACGUG
rnacentral:rRNA from 1 species